UACGGAGGGUGCAAGCGUUAUCCGGAUUCACUGGGUUUAAAGGGUGCGUAGGUGGGCUAGUAAGUCCGUGGUGAAAUCUCUGAGCUUAACUCGGAAACUGCCGUGGAUACUAUUAGUCUUGAAUCUCGUGGAGGUAAGCGGAAUAUGUCAUGUAGCGGUGAAAUGCUUAGAUAUGACAUAGAACACCGAUAGCGAAGGCAGCUUGCUACACGAGUAUUGACACUGAGGCACGAAAGCGUGGGGGAUCAAACAGG
rnacentral:rRNA from 1 species